GAUGAACGCUGGCGGCGUGCCUAAUACAUGCAAGUCGAGCGAACAGACGAGGAGCUUGCUCCUCUGACGUUAGCGGCGGACGGGUGAGUAACACGUGGAUAACCUACCUAUAAGACUGGGAUAACUUCGGGAAACCGUAGCUAAUACCGGAUAAUAUAUUGAACCGCAUGGUUCAAUAGUGAAAGACGGUUUUGCUGUCACUUAUAGAUGGAUCCGCGCCGCAUUAGCUAGUUGGUAAGGUAACGGCUUACCAAGGCAACGAUGCGUAGCCGACCUGAGAGGGUGAUCGGCCACACUGGAACUGAGACACGGUCCAGACUCCUACGGGAGGCAGCAGUAGGGAAUCUUCCGCAAUGGGCGAAAGCCUGACGGAGCAACGCAGCGUGAGUGAUGAAGGUAUUCGGAUCGUAAAACUCUGUUAUUAGGGAAGAACAAAUGUGUAAGUAACUAUGCACGUCUUGACGGUACCUAAUCAGAAAGCCACGGCUAACUACGUG
rnacentral:rRNA from 1 species